rnacentral:rRNA from 1 species
AGGUAGUUGGUGAGGUAAUGGCUCACCAAGCCUACGACGGGUAGCCGGCCUGAGAGGGUGACCGGCCACACUGGGACUGAGACACGGCCCAGACUCCUACGGGAGGCAGCAGUGGGGAAUAUUGCACAAUGGGCGCAAGCCUGAUGCAGCAACGCCGCGUGAGGGACGACGGCCUUCGGGUUGUAAACCUCUUUUAGUAGGGAAGAAGCGAAAGUGACGGUACCUGCAGAAAAAGCACCGGCUAACUACGUGCCAGCAGCCGCGGUAAUACGUAGGGUGCAAGCGUUGUCCGGAAUUAUUGGGCGUAAAGAGCUCGUAGGCGGUUUGUCGCGUCUGCUGUGAAAACUGGAGGCUCAACCUCCAGCCUGCAGUGGGUACGGGCAGACUAGAGUGCGGUAGGGGAGAUUGGAAUUCCUGGUGUAGCGGUGGAAUGCGCAGAUAUCAGGAGGAACACCGAUGGCGAAGGCAGAUCUCUGGGCCGUAACUGACGCUGAGGAGCGAAAGCAUGGGGAGCGAACAGGAUUAGAUACCCUGGUAGUCCAUGCCGUAAACGUUGGGAACUAGAUGUAGGGGCCAUUCCACGGUUUCUGUGUCGCAGCUAACGCAUUAAGUUCCCCGCCUGGGGAGUACGGCCGCAAGGCUAAAACUCAAAGGAAUUGACGGGGGCCCGCACAAGCGGCGGAGCAUGCGGAUUAAUUCGAUGCAACGCGAAGAACCUUACCAAGGCUUGACAUAUAGAGGUAACGUGCAGAAAUGUACGCCCCGCAAGGUCUCUAUACAGGUGGUGCAUGGUUGUCGUCAGCUCGUGUCGUGAGAUGUUGGGUUAAGUCCCGCAACGAGCGCAACCCUCGUUCUAUGUUGCCAGCACGUUAUGGUGGGAACUCAUAGGAGACUGCCGGGGUCAACUCGGAGGAAGGUGGGGAUGACGUCAAAUCAUCAUGCCCCUUAUGUCUUGGGCUUCACGCAUGCUACAAUGGCCGGUACAAAGGGCUGCAAUACCGUAAGGUGGAGCGAAUCCCAAAAAGCCGGUCUCAGUUCGGAUUGAGGUCUGCAACUCGACCUCAUGAAGUCGGAGUCGCUAGUAAUCGCAGAUCAGCAACGCUGCGGUGAAUACGUUCCCGGGCCUUGUACACACCGCCCGUCAAGUCAUGAAAGUCGGUAACACCCGAAGCCAGUGGCCUAACCGUAAGGGAGGAGCUGUCGAAGGUGGGAUCGGUGAUUAGGACUAAGUCGUAACAAGGUAGCCGUACUAGUACGAUC